UGAAGAGUUUGAUCAUGGCUCAGAUUGAACGCUGGCGGCAGGCCUAACACAUGCAAGUCGAACGGUAACAGGAAGCAGCUUGCUGCUUUGCUGACGAGUGGCGGACGGGUGAGUAAUGUCUGGGAAACUGCCUGAUGGAGGGGGAUAACUACUGGAAACGGUGGCUAAUACCGCAUAACGUCGCAAGACCAAAGAGGGGGACCUUCGGGCCUCUUGCCAUCAGAUGUGCCCAGAUGGGAUUAGCUUGUUGGUGAGGUAACGGCUCACCAAGGCGACGAUCCCUAGCUGGUCUGAGAGGAUGACCAGCCACACUGGAACUGAGACACGGUCCAGACUCCUACGGGAGGCAGCAGUGGGGAAUAUUGCACAAUGGGCGCAAGCCUGAUGCAGCCAUGCCGCGUGUAUGAAGAAGGCCUUCGGGUUGUAAAGUACUUUCAGCGGGGAGGAAGGUGUUGUGGUUAAUAACCGCAGCAAUUGACGUUACCCGCAGAAGAAGCACCGGCUAACUCCGUGCCAGCAGCCGCGGUAAUACGGAGGGUGCAAGCGUUAAUCGGAAUUACUGGGCGUAAAGCGCACGCAGGCGGUCUGUCAAGUCGGAUGUGAAAUCCCCGGGCUCAACCUGGGAACUGCAUUCGAAACUGGCAGGCUUGAGUCUUGUAGAGGGGGGUAGAAUUCCAGGUGUAGCGGUGAAAUGCGUAGAGAUCUGGAGGAAUACCGGUGGCGAAGGCGGCCCCCUGGACAAAGACUGACGCUCAGGUGCGAAAGCGUGGGGAGCAAACAGGAUUAGAUACCCUGGUAGUCCACGCCGUAAACGAUGUCUACUUGGAGGUUGUGCCCUUGAGGCGUGGCUUCCGGAGCUAACGCGUUAAGUAGACCGCCUGGGGAGUACGGCCGCAAGGUUAAAACUCAAAUGAAUUGACGGGGGCCCGCACAAGCGGUGGAGCAUGUGGUUUAAUUCGAUGCAACGCGAAGAACCUUACCUGGUCUUGACAUCCACAGAACUUUCCAGAGAUGGAUUGGUGCCUUCGGGAACUGUGAGACAGGUGCUGCAUGGCUGUCGUCAGCUCGUGUUGUGAAAUGUUGGGUUAAGUCCCGCAACGAGCGCAACCCUUAUCCUUUGUUGCCAGCGGUCCGGCCGGGAACUCAAAGGAGACUGCCAGUGAUAAACUGGAGGAAGGUGGGGAUGACGUCAAGUCAUCAUGGCCCUUACGACCAGGGCUACACACGUGCUACAAUGGCGCAUACAAAGAGAAGCGACCUCGCGAGAGCAAGCGGACCUCAUAAAGUGCGUCGUAGUCCGGAUUGGAGUCUGCAACUCGACUCCAUGAAGUCGGAAUCGCUAGUAAUCGUGGAUCAGAAUGCCACGGUGAAUACGUUCCCGGGCCUUGUACACACCGCCCGUCACACCAUGGGAGUGGGUUGCAAAAGAAGUAGGUAGCUUAACCUUCGGGAGGGCGCUUACCACUUUGUGAUUCAUGACUGGGGUGAAGUCGUAACAAGGUAACCGUAGGGGAACCUGCGGUUGGAUCACCUCCUUACCUGAAAGAAGC
rnacentral:rRNA from 2 species